AGUGAACGCUGGCGGUAGGCCUAACACAUGCAAGUCGAACGGCAGCACAGUAAGAGCUUGCUCUUACGGGUGGCGAGUGGCGGACGGGUGAGGAAUACAUCGGAAUCUACUUUUUCGUGGGGGAUAACGUAGGGAAACUUACGCUAAUACCGCAUACGACCUACGGGUGAAAGCAGGGGAUCUUCGGACCUUGCGCGAUUGAAUGAGCCGAUGUCGGAUUAGCUAGUUGGCGGGGUAAAGGCCCACCAAGGCGACGAUCCGUAGCUGGUCUGAGAGGAGGAUCAGCCACACUGGAACGGAGACAGGGUCCAGACUCCUACGGGAGGGAGCAGUGGGGAAUAUUGGACAAUGGGCGCAAGCCUGAUCCAGCCAUACCGCGUGGGUGAAGAAGGCCUUCGGGUUGUAAAGCCCUUUUGUUGGGAAAGAAAAGCAGCAGGUUAAUACCCCGCUGUUCUGACGGUACCCAAAGAAUAAGCACCGGCUAACUUCGUG
rnacentral:rRNA from 1 species